rnacentral:rRNA from 1 species
GAUAUAGCACUAAAUCGACCCCCUGUGGAGUGCACUCGCGCGAUAUACUCUAAGAAUAGACGGGGGCCCCACACGAGGUGUAGCACGUGGUUUAUAUGAGGCACACGUAUAGCCUUUUCAGAGCUCGUCAUGCUAGUAGUAUAAGCCUGAAAGGGGGACGAUCUCGCACGAGAAGCUAUCACACGUGUGGCAUAUCUGUCUUCAGAUCGUGUCGUGAGAUGUUGGGUUAAGUCUCGCAACGAGAGCACCCCUUAUCUUUAGUUGCCACUCUGAUACAAAUCUGAGAGAACUCUAGAGAGACUGCCUCGGUUAACGAGGAGGAAGGUGGGGAGGACGUCAAGUCUCUAUGGCCCCUACGCCCUGGGGUACACACGUGCUACAAAGGUUGGUACAAAAAGAAACAAACCCGCAAAAAGAAAAGGAUAUCAAAAAACCACCCUCACUCCAGAUUGGAGUGUGCAACUCUACUCCACGAAGUUGGAAUCUCUAGUAAUGGUAGAUCUGAUACGCUACCGUGAAUACGUUUCCGGGCCCUGUACUCUCCCCCCGUCUCAUCUUGAAAGCUGGUGGUACCCAAAGUACGGCUUAAACCCUCCAAAGGUAUGGUCAGAGAGUGAG